rnacentral:rRNA from 1 species
GACGAACCGUGCAAACGUUGUUCGGAUUCACUGGGCUUAAAGGGCGCGUAGGCGGGUGGUCAAGUCAGGGGUGAAAUCUUUCAGCUCAACUGGAAAACAGCUUCUGAUACUGGCAAUCUUGAGGGAGGUAGGGGCAUGUGGAACUUCCGGUGGAGCGGUGAAAUGCGUAGAUAUCGGAAGGAACGCCGGUGGCGAAAGCGACGUGCUGGACCUUUUCUGACGCUGAGGCGCGAAAGCCAGGGGAGCAAACGGG